GCCUGGGUGGCUCAGCCGGUUGAGCGUCCGACUUCGGCUCAGGUCAUGAUCUCACAGUUUGUGAGUUCGAGCCCCGCAUCAGGCU
rnacentral:tRNA from 1 species